AUUGAACGCUGGCGGCAGGCCUAACACAUGCAAGUCGAACGGUAACAGGAAGCAGCUUGCUGCUUUGCUGCCGAGUGGCGGACGGGUGAGUAAUGUCUGGGAAACUGCCUGAUGGAGGGGGAUAACUACUGGAAACGGUCGCUAAUACCGCAUAACGUCGCAAGACCAAAGAGGGGGACCUUCGGGCCUCUUGCCAUCGGAUGUGCCCAGAUGGGAUUAGCUAGUAGGUGGGGUAACGGCUCACCUAGGCGACGAUCCCUAGCUGGUCUGAGAGGAUGACCAGCCACACUGGAACUGAGACACGGUCCAGACUCCUACGGGAGGCAGCAGUGGGGAAUAUUGCACAAAGGGCGCAAGCCUGAUGCAGCCAUGCCGCGUGUAUGAAGAAGGCCUUCGGGUUGUAAAGUACUUUCAGCGGGGAGGAAGGGAGUAAAGUUAAUACCUUGGCUCAUUGACGUUACCCGCAGAAGAAGCACCGGCUAACUCCGUG
rnacentral:rRNA from 1 species